UACAGAGGGUGCUAGCGUUGUUCGGAAUCAUUGGGCGUAAAGGGCGUGUAGGCGGUUUGUUAAGUCAUGUGUGAAAUCCCUCGGCUCAACCGGGGAACGACGCAUGAAACUGGCAAGCUAGAGUACCAAAGAGGGUCGUGGAAUUCCCAGUGUAGAGGUGAAAUUCGUAGAUAUUGGGAAGAACACCGGUGGCGAAGGCGGCGACCUGGUCCGAUACUGACGCUGAGGCGCGAAAGCGUGGGGAGCAAACAGG
rnacentral:rRNA from 1 species